rnacentral:rRNA from 1 species
UAUUGGUCAAUGGAUGCAAGUCUGAACCAGCCAUGCCGCGUGCAGGAAGAAGGCCUUCUGGGUUGUAAACUGCUUUUGCCAGGGGACAAAAUAGGCGUGCGCGCUUAAUUGAAGGUACUUGGUGAAUAAGCCACGGCUAACUACGUGCCAGCAGCCGCGGUAAUACGUAGGUGGCAAGCGUUGUCCGGAUUUAUUGGGUUUAAAGGGUGCGUAGGCGGUCUAUUAAGUCAGUGGUGAAAUACUCCAGCUUAACUGGAGGGGUGCCAUUGAUACUGAUGGACUUGAGUCAAGUCGAGGUAGGCGGAAUUGACGGUGUAGCGGUGAAAUGCUUAGAUAUCGUCAAGAACACCAAUAGUGAAGACAGCUUACUAGGCUUAAACUGACGCUGAGGCACGAAAGUGUGGGGAUCAAACAGG